GACGAACGCUGGCGGCGUGCCUAAUACAUGCAAGUCGAACGAACUCUGGUAUUGAUUGGUGCUUGCAUCAUGAUUUACAUUUGAGUGAGUGGCGAACUGGUGAGUAACACGUGGGAAACCUGCCCAGAAGCGGGGGAUAACACCUGGAAACAGAUGCUAAUACCGCAUAACAACUUGGACCGCAUGGUCCGAGUUUGAAAGAUGGCUUCGGCUAUCACUUUUGGAUGGUCCCGCGGCGUAUUAGCUAGAUGGUGAGGUAACGGCUCACCAUGGCAAUGAUACGUAGCCGACCUGAGAGGGUAAUCGGCCACAUUGGGACUGAGACACGGCCCAAACUCCUACGGGAGGCAGCAGUAGGGAAUCUUCCACAAUGGACGGAAGUCUGAUGGAGCAACGCCGCGUGAGUGAAGAAGGGUUUCGGCUCGUAAAACUCUGUUGUUAAAGAAGAACAUAUCUGAGAGUAACUGUUCAGGUAUUGACGGUAUUUAACCAGAAAGCCACGGCUAACUACGUGCCAGCAGCCGCGGUAAUACGUAGGUGGCAAGCGUUGUCCGGAUUUAUUGGGCGUAAAGCGAGCGCAGGCGGUUUUUUAAGUCUGAUGUGAAAGCCUUCGGCUCAACCGAAGAAGUGCAUCGGAAACUGGGAAACUUGAGUGCAGAAGAGGACAGUGGAACUCCAUGUGUAGCGGUGAAAUGCGUAGAUAUAUGGAAGAACACCAGUGGCGAAGGCGGCUGUCUGGUCUGUAACUGACGCUGAGGCUCGAAAGUAUGGGUAGCGAACAGGAUUAGAUACCCUGGUAGUCCAUACCGUAAACGAUGAAUGCUAAGUGUUGGAGGGUUUCCGCCCUUCAGUGCUGCAGCUAACGCAUUAAGCAUUCCGCCUGGGGAGUACGGCCGCAAGGCUGAAACUCAAAGGAAUUGACGGGGGCCCGCACAAGCGGUGGAGCAUGUGGUUUAAUUCGAAGCUACGCGAAGAACCUUACCAGGUCUUGACAUACUAUGCAAAUCUAAGAGAUUAGACGUUCCCUUCGGGGACAUGGAUACAGGUGGUGCAUGGUUGUCGUCAGCUCGUGUCGUGAGAUGUUGGGUUAAGUCCCGCAACGAGCGCAACCCUUAUUAUCAGUUGCCAGCAUUAAGUUGGGCACUCUGGUGAGACUGCCGGUGACAAACCGGAGGAAGGUGGGGAUGACGUCAAAUCAUCAUGCCCCUUAUGACCUGGGCUACACACGUGCUACAAUGGAUGGUACAACGAGUUGCGAACUCGCGAGAGUAAGCUAAUCUCUUAAAGCCAUUCUCAGUUCGGAUUGUAGGCUGCAACUCGCCUACAUGAAGUCGGAAUCGCUAGUAAUCGCGGAUCAGCAUGCCGCGGUGAAUACGUUCCCGGGCCUUGUACACACCGCCCGUCACACCAUGAGAGUUUGUAACACCCAAAGUCGGUGGGGUAACCUUUUAGGAACCAGCCGCCUAAGGUGGGACAGAUGAUUAGGGUGAAG
rnacentral:rRNA from 1 species